rnacentral:rRNA from 1 species
AUUGAACGCUGGCGGCAGGCUUAACACAUGCAAGUCGAGCGGGGGAAGGUAGCUUGCUACCGGACCUAGCGGCGGACGGGUGAGUAAUGCUUAGGAAUCUGCCUAUUUGUGGGGGACAACAUCUCGAAAGGGAUGCUAAUACCGCAUACGUCCUACGGGAGAAAGCAGGGGAUCUUCGGACCUUGCGCUAAUAGAUGAGCCUAAGUCGGAUUAGCUAGUUGGUGGGGUAAAGGCCUACCAAGGCGACGAUCUGUAGCGGGUCUGAGAGGAUGAUCCGCCACACUGGGACUGGGACACGGCCCGGACUCCUACGGGAGGCAGAAGGGGGGAAGAUUGGGCAAUGGGGGGGAACCUGAUCCAGCCAUGCCGCGUGUGUGAAGAAGGCCUUAUGGUUGUAAAGCACUUUAAGCGAGGAGGAGGCUACUCUAGUUAAUACCUAGGGAUAGUGGACGUUACUCGCAGAAUAAGCACCGGCUAACUCUGUGCCAGCAGCCGCCGUAA